GGGCGUCCUAUCUGACUUCAACAUCUGUCUUCCACUGACUACCAGUGUUGGCUUGGCAGUCUGGAUGCCUGGCUGUCCCCAUUCUCCUUUAUUCCUCCCUGUGUGUCCCCUCCAAAACUGGGUGCUGUGACAAGAGGAUGACUUCCUCAGGGAGAUGAUGGCUUUGGUGGAUG
rnacentral:snRNA from 1 species